UCCUAAUUUUUUUAACCUUUCCUUCCAGAGUUUUACAUUCUCGCUCUACUCAAGGGUUUCCACACAUUUCCAAACCCACAUUCUCGUUUUUGUUCAGAAUGCUCUGUCAAGCUCGAUUUGAAUUCAUCAAAUCAGCAUUCAUCUUCUCAUCUCCGUCCAAGGUUUUACACUCACUCUCCUAAAUUUUUUCCUAAAUAUCCAAACACUAGCAUUUUCGUUUUUGUUCAGAAAGGUCCGUCAUCAAAUUGGCGUUUUGAAAGCUCGUUCUAGAAGUUCGAUUUGGAUCCAUCAAACCGAUAUUCAUCUUCGUCCUCGCUCAUCUGCCAGUGCUCGUCAUCUCCGUCAUCGCUCAUCGGCCAGUGGUCGUCGUCAAUGCUUGUUGGCCGUUGCUCGUCUCUCAGUGAUCGUCUCUUAGUGAGUGUGGGUUUGACCCUAAUUUUUUAACCCUCUUUGAUAUGCAGAGAGAUGUUUGCUCUAGUCCUUUCAUUUGGCCUUCUCCUCACUGCAUUAAGAAGCAGAAAGGCUAGGUCAUGGCGCUAUGGUUGUGUAGCAGACUAUUUAUCUCUUUCUUUCUGGGAUGAGAUUGGGGAGAGUGACAAUGAUAGAGACAACAUGCUUCUUCAACUGGAGCAAGAAUGCUUGGAUAUUUAUCACAGGAGAGUUAAGGAGACGAGGAAGCACAAGGCUGACAUAUAUUAAUGGGUGGCAGAUGCUGAAGCUCAAGCAACUAAUAUUGUUUCUUCCCUUAGGGAAUCUACAAUGCUCCCACGAGGAAAAGGAUCCUUGAAGCAGCAAUUAGCUGCCAUUAAACUUGUCUUAGAGGAUUUGAGGUCAAAGAAGGAUGAAAGAAUAAAGGAAUUUUUAGAGAUAAAGUCCCAAAUUUCUCAGAUAUGUGAUGAAAUAGCAGGUUGUGGACAGUACACAAGUGUCACAGACUCAGAUGUAAAUCAAAGUGAUCUGACAUCAAAGAAAUUGGGGGAACUCAAGUCGCAUCUACAGGAGCUUCAGAAUGAAAAGAAAUAGUCACUAGAUUUGAAGAAACACAAGUGCAUCAAGGUAGAUUUCUCUCCUAAGGGUUGAAAGAGUGAGCGAGUAUCUCAAUGCUUCCCAAACUAAAUUCCACCUUUAUUCCUACCUCUGCUUUGUCUGAUGCUCCUCAUAAUUGUAGAUAACAUGUGGAAUGAUGGCUUCUCAAUUUUAGGCUUUUCUUGAUGCCACUGAGUGUCUCUAUAAAACACAAAAGCUUGCCGGCAAACCUGCUGGAAUUAUCUCCAGCACUCGAUACCAAGGUGGUCAAGAAGAGACUACAAUUACAUUAUUUACUGAUUGUGAUGGUAUCAUCCCUCUAGUUCACCGUGGAAUGGUAUUUGUUCCAUUUGGAAUAAGAUUUACAUACAACCAUGAGUUUGAAAAUAUGGAGGAAGUGAAAGGUGGAAGUCCUUAUGGUUCACGAGCAUGGCUAUUACUUGUAUGCUUUGUGUGUUUGACGCAAAGAAAGCUAAUAGAUUUGAAGUAAUCACUUCCUCCAGGUCAGUAAUAGAAUCUGUAGUUUAAUUGAAUAAUUGUUCUUCUAAAGGCAUUUUUUUUUUUCUGCAGGGAAGACCUUAAUAUGGGUUAAUAUGGAAUUGGUAAAAAAACAUAUUUAAUUCAAAUCUCUAAAUAAAGUUCAACUU